GGCUGCAGCACGACGGUGCUCCUGCACAUGCAGCCCGCAUCGUUCGUCAUUAACUCGACGGUAUGUUUCCGGAGCGCUGGAUCGGACGAGGUGGACCCCGUCACUGGCCGGCACGUCCCCCAGACCUGACGCCAUUGGAUUUCUUCCUCUGGGGACACGAGAAGUCGGUCGUCUACAGGGCACCCAUCGAGACGCUGCAAGAGCUUCACCUGCGGAUCGACAGUGCCGUGCGUUCCGUCACUCCGGAAAUGCUGGUAAACCGUCGAGGCAGCCUCCUGCAGCGUGGGAGGUGCUGCAUUCAGGCGAAUGGCGGACACUUCGAGCACCUUCUUCAUUGAGGUGCUAUGUCCAGCACUGUCUGCGCCCCUGUGUGUUCCUGUACAAGACGACGACCGGUCGGUCAAAUUGUAAAACAACUUCAAUACAAAAGGUACGUUUUACAACAGCAUCUUAACAAUAUCAAUUAGAUAUGCUAAUAAAUUUGUUUUUCGUUUCAUGUGAACAUCGUUCUCGGUGGGAACAAUCUUUCGAUCGACUUCGAAAAAAGUAAGUAAACACAAUACAGUACAAUAUUAUUUUUUAAAUUAAUUAAUUAAUUUUUUUUUCCUUUUCUAUUUCUUUUACAUGAACGUGAGAGAAAGCGGCGCAAGUUCAAUAAGUGAGGCUAUCAAUAAAAAGUAAACAGAACUCGCCUAUCAUCAUGCUACAGUCAAAGAUUGUCAUUAUCAGGGUGAUGAGAAAAGGAAAUAGAAGAACAGCAUCCUAGAUGACCUAACCUGAGGACAACAAGCGGGGACGGCCAUCUAGAAUUUCCAGUAUCUCCAUUUAUUUGAUUGGACAAGACUGUAACGGCAAAUUAGUGAUAAAGAUUAAAUUAUACAUAAUAUGGUAAAACAUAUGAUGUAUAUUUUAUUCGCUAUCACUUUUUCAAAGCCACAGUCUUGUUCAAUCCAAUGAAUGAAGAUACUGGAAGUUCUAAAUGAUAAUUAUUAUAACCAAUAACCUAUUCCAUAACAUAACAGCGAUUAUUAUUAUUUAUUUUUAAUUAUUAUUAACUUGACUAAACUAAGUUAAUAUAUUGUCAUUACUUACCGGUUUAAGAUUUUUGUACAUUUCUAUAAUGCGUUAACACAUUGUAAACAUAAACCUAAAUUCAUUAUUUACUUUGCGUUAGC